rnacentral:rRNA from 1 species
UACGGGGGGGGCAAGCGUUGUUCGGAAUUACUGGGCGUAAAGGGCUCGUAGGUGGCCAACUAAGUCAGACGUGAAAUCCCUCGGCUUAACCGGGGAACGGCGUCUGAUACUGGAUGGCUUGAGUUCGGGAGAGGGAUGCGGAAUUCCAGGUGUAGCGGUGAAAUGCGUAGAUAUCUGGAGGAACACCGGUGGCGAAGGCGGCAUCCUGGACCGAAACUGACACUGAGGAGCGAAAGCCAGGGGAGCAAACGGG